rnacentral:rRNA from 1 species
GUGUUCCGCCUGGGGAGUACGGUCGCAAGAUUAAAACUCAAAGGAAUAGACGGGGACCCGCACAAGUGGUGGAGCAUGUGGUUUAAUUCGAAGAUACGCGAAAAACCUUACCUGGCCUUGACAUUGAUAGAAUACUGUAGAGAUACGGUAGUGCCCUUCGGGGAGCUUGAAAACAGGUGCUGCACGGCUGUCGUCAGCUCGUGUCGUGAGAUGUUGGGUUAAGUCCCGCAACGAGCGCAACCCUCGUCCUUAGUUGCCAGCAGGUUAAGCUGGGCACUCUAAGGAGACUGCCUUCGCAAGGAGGAGGAAGGUGAGGACGACGUCAAGUCAUCAUGGCCCUUACGGCCAGGGCUACACACGUGCUACAAUGAGGCGUACAGAGAGUUGCAAUACCGCGAGGUGGAGCCAAUCUCAUAAAGCGUCUCUCAGUUCGGAUUGUUCUCUGCAACUCGAGAGCAUGAAGCUGGAAUCACUAGUAAUCGUAGAUCAGCAUUGCUACAGUGAAUACGUUCCCGGGUCUUGUACACACCGCCCGU